rnacentral:rRNA from 1 species
UACGGGGGGGGCAAGCGUUGUUCGGAAUUACUGGGCGUAAAGGGCUCGUAGGCGGCCAACUAAGUCGGACGUGAAAUCCCCAGGCUCAACCUGGGAACUGCGUCUGAUACUGGAUGGCUUGAAUCCGGGAGAGGGAUGCAGAAUUCCAGGUGUAGCGGUGAAAUGCGUAGAUAUCUGGAGGAAUACCGGUGGCGAAGGCGGCAUCCUGGACCGGCAUUGACGCUGAGGAGCGAAAGUGUGGGGAGCGAACAGG